UAGUCAGCAGCAGUCGUGUCGAUGGUGUUACUGUUAACACCUCAGACGGUCCUGGGAGUAUUGUCAGCUUGCUUAUACCACCCAAUACUUGCCUACGAAGGCGAGCGACUGCAGCGCUGAUGAAAUCGGGAAUAGAACCCAGAGUCCCGGAUUGUGAACAGAGAACGAAGCCACCUGUACCAAGAGGCCCUGAUGUUCCCGAGUAAAAGAUCAGCCAUCCACAACAGGGAAGUGGCUCAAACGAUACAUAAUUUUUCAGACUAGAUAAUUAACGAUCGAUCAACAGCAGUGCAAUUAAAUAUCACUGUCUACAGGCAAUAUAUAAAUUAAAAAAAAAUACUUCUUGACUCUGUAUUGCCCACCAAAUUGGCGAUAUAUGAAGUAUUUUAAUGAAAUUCAAUGUAUCUUCACUAUCGUGCCUGAGCCCUAACCCUCAUGUCCUCGACGUGGACAUGAAACUGGUUGCUUAUCAAAUGUCCCUCCCCAACA